rnacentral:lncRNA from 1 species
UUAGAUCUAAAGUACCAAACAAAUUACGCGUGGCUGAUACCAAUAUACAGAGAAAUCUAAUUAAAAAAAUUGACAAAAAACUGUUCCAGUAAGCAUUGACCUACAAGGAAAAAAACAAAAGUAACCAACAUAGUUUAUUUCCUAAUUCUUUCAAUUUGGGGGAGAGGGAGACUGGGUCGUACGUGUUUGGGAGUGAAGAAGGUAAGAGGAAAGAAGGCGGUAGCUUCGGAGGAGAAGUGAGAAGAAGUGCUUCCAUAGCGUGGAUUUCUGAGAGAGAGGGUUGGAAGGGAACUGAGAAGAAGUUUGAGAAUGGAUGAUAAACAUACUCAAAUCCACACCACUCCCCUUGCCUUCGCACUCACCGUCUCUUGCUUCCUCUGCAUCGCUUUGCCACGUUCCCACUCUCAACCAUCGCCGCCAUCGUCACCGCUACUGCCUUGUGCUGAGCCGUUAUACAUGUGCAGAAUAAACGUUUCCGACAUCUUAGAUCCUGUCUGGAAACAGAUUCCUCCCUCUCAGUGUAUUGGCGUCGACUCAUCACCCCAGCUCAGCUGCUCUGCUUCUUAUGGAUCUCAAAAUUUCACACUGAAGAAGGUCGACAACACCACUCACACCAUGACGGUGGUGCCAGCACACACUGUCAACAAUGUUUGUUCUCCUGAUUUUUUUCACAUUUACGACAACUUGAUCAACAGUCUGUUACAACAUUACGAGUCAAUGCGAAACGUCAUCGUAUUCUUCGAUGGUUGUCCUCUCGACAUCCCAAAUUUUCCUUCAGAACGCAAAUUUAAAUGCGGGAAUGCUGUGUACUAUUUUAGGGGGGAGCAUGAGAAGUUCUACAUACACCCAUCGCUUGAGUAUUGCAAGAAAAGUUUGUUGGUGCCCAUUGCCGCUCCUCUCGGUGAUUACGAUCAUAAAGAUGGUGGAGCUGAAGUUCUGAAAGAAGCUUUGAGGGAUGGGUUUGAGGUCUNCUAUAGUCCUCCUCAACACUGUAGAGGAUGCAACCAAAUUAACGGAAAUUGCUGGACCGGUGGUUACGAGGGACAUGAAGUUUCAUGCAACUACUAUUGCCCAAAUCAAUACUGUUCUCCCAAAAGCAAAAGUAGUGGUAUGUCUUCUCUUAUAUCUUACAUAUCAUUCCCACAAAAUCCUCUUUUUAGUUACUCACUUCCCAUUCUCCCUCUUUAUUCAAUCUAUUACUAUCGUUUAACCAACACAACUUUCAAUUACAAAGUUUGUCAUUCAAACCUAAUAUUGAAAUUUAUGUGCUAUAUUCAAACCUAAUAUUCAAUCAUUCAAUAUAGUAGUGUUUGUUCAUCAACUUAUGGAUAUAUAUAUAUAUAUAUAUAUAUAUAUAUAUAUAUAUAUAUAUAUAUAUAUAUAUAUAUAUAUAUAUAUAUAUAUUAGUGUUGCGAGUGACAUUAGCUAUAAUUUUUUAUCACACCCUUUGUUCUCUUUUUCUUUUGAUUUGCGUCUGCCUCUACGAGUAAUCAUUAAGAAGAGGAAUUUUUUUCAAUAUUAAUAUGUUUUAAAAUAAAAAUUGAAGCUUACCUAAGAUAUAAGAAAAAUGACUUGGAAACUAAAUAGUAUCACAAGUCAUUAUGAUUGUAUUUGUGAUUUUAAUUUUCAAGUAAAAGAAAAUUUAAUCCCCUAAAUUUUUCAAUUUUCUAUAAAUUCAAACCUCAAAAUCUAUUUUUCUUAGUUGAUUUUCAAAUUUUAUCCAGUCAACAAAUAAGCAUAUUUAUUUUUAAUUUUGGUCUAAAUAAUUCUUAAAUUGUUAUCUUUAUCUUAUAAUAGUUACACCUAAAACUAUAAUUUUAUUAUAAUUAUUCCUUAAUAUUUUUUUAUAAAUAAACUUCUUUAUGUUAAAUAUUUUUAUUAAACUGCUGGUGGUGGUUUAUUACUAUUUUUUAACUCAAUGUUUUCAAAAUAUUAUUUACUAAAAUUUACUUAGUCUUAAAUUAUAAUUAUAACGCAAUUAAACUUUUAGGUAUUUAUUUUAAAAAAUUUAAGAAUUAAUUGAAACAAAAUUAAAAUUCAGAAUAUUAUAUAUAUAUAUAUAUAUAUAUAUAUAUAUAUAUAUAUAUAUAUAUAUAUAUAUAUAUAUAUAUAUAUAUAUACGGUGUAAAGUUUUAGAUCAAUCAAGGUGUAUAAUUAAUUUUAUGAUACUUUUAUCUAUAAAAUAACAAACCUCAGAAGCUUAAAGGUUUUUUUAAGCUUUAGUUUCUUGGCUUAUUCAUUAUUUAUUUUUCUCCGAAAUUGGCCCUGAAACCAAAUCAUCCAAUUAUUCUGGUUUUCUCCCUCAUAUAGCCAGAUAAUAUUACUUGAUUUUAGUACAUUUCUCUUUACAAUUUACAUAUAUUUCUCGUAUGUUUCUAUCUUACACAUAUUUACUAAAAAAUAAGUGGGAGGUUUUUCUGUUACUUGCUUUUGUUGACUUCAAUGCACAUUUUCCCUUGGUCCCUACUAAUUAUUUGGUGGAUGUUCUGUCUUCUUUCACUUAACCGAGUCAACAAGAAAAUAUUUAAUUAUUAUGUGCAGUGGAAAUAUAUAAAAGAUAAUACAUUAUGUUACAAGUUAUAUAAUUGAAUGAUUUCAUAAAACAAAAAUUGACAAAGUCUCCGUCGUCUUUAAAAUUAAUUUUCCUUUUCUCAUUUAACAAAAUUACAUAUAUCACUCCACCUUCUUUCUCCUCCGGAAAAUAAAUCAUCAGUUAUCACUUCUUAUUUUUUGAAUUAUUUUCGUUUAAAUAUGUGUUUGUAAUAUGUUUAUAAUCCUUAAACUUUCACCUAUUUUUCCAGGAAUUGGUUUUGUUGUUUCGGUAAAUAAGCCAUGCCUAAAUUUUUAAGCACUAAAUUUUUAAACAAGAAUUGAAGAUGAUGCAUCUCUUUGUAUUAGAAUUCUAAAAAUAAAAGUGUUUUGAUUUUUGUUAAGAAAAUAAGUACUCAGUUCGUAGAAUGAUUUCUUUGGAUUUUUUGGUUCUUUAGUUUGAACAGAGGUUUAUAAUCUAGAAUAAGCAUUUGAAUACUGUAAAAUGAUAGUAAGUUUUAAUGUUAAAAUCCAACGUAUAAUAUAAGAUUUUAAAUGUAAUGUAACGAUGAGAAAAUUAAACCCUAAGCUAGAAAAUUCGUUUAUAUUGCACCCAAAUGCUUCUUUCCUCUGCCAUAAAUAUUUAGAUUGCGCUGUAAAGUGAAGUAGAAAGAUAUUAUAACUCCUCUUCCAAAAAGAUAAGUGAUUAUAAAAGUAGCUAGAAUGUUUUCUUUUUAUCUGAACAAUAUUUCAAUAAAAUUUACAGCAAUAUUAGGAAUCUGAUUAAUUCCUCUUUUCUCAUAUACUUUUGCAGGAAAUUGGGACCAAAAGAGGAAAUUCAUUAUUUUAGGUAACUAACCUAAUAAAUUAUCUUAAUAGUUUCCACUAAGUAUUUGUUAUCGAUCCCUAAUAAAUUUUCAUAGAGUUAAUAAUUAAAGUUUGUUUAUAUUUAAAUUCACUAACCAUAACUUUUUUCUUUUAUUUAUAAUUGAGAUUAGAGACCGAAAACAUUCAUCGUAAGUAAUUGUUCACACUUGUCCCUAUUGUAUAUGCUAACAGGUGUUACAGGUUCAGCAAUUGCAGCGGUGUUGAUAUUAUUUUCAAUUCUGUGUGUAAGAUACACGUCAUCAACCUGGCAAGCAAAUUUUGGCUUGGCUUCAAAAAGUAAUCAAAAUAUCGAAGCAUUCCUUAAAAUUCAUGGCCCUCUAGCUCUGAAAAGAUAUAAACUAUCAGAUGUUAAGAAAAUGACCAACAACUUCAAAGUAAAGUUGGGACAAGGUGGUUUUGGUGCAGUGUACAUGGGAAAGUUAUCCAAUGGUAAAGUUGUGGCUGUAAAGAUGUUGAGUGCAACCAAAAAAAAUGGUAAAGAUUUUAUGAAUGAGGUUGCUAGCAUAAGUAGAACUUCUCAUGUUAACGUUGUCUCUCUUCUUGGCUUUUGUUUGAAAGGUCACAAGAGAGCUCUCAUCUAUGAAUUUAUGUCCAAUGGUUCCCUUGACAAAUUCAUUUAUAGAACAAGAGAUGAAACCCUUUCAACCUUGAGUUGGGAUAUUAUAUAUCAAGUUGCAAGGGACAUAGCUCGAGGCUUAGAAUACUUGCAUAAGGGAUGCAACACUCGAAUUUUUCACUUUGACAUAAAACCACAUAACAUUCUUCUGGAUGACAACUUCUGUGCNAAGAUAUCUGAUUUUGGGUUGUCAAAACUGUGUCCUAGGAAUGAAAGUAUCGUUUCCCUGUCAGAUGCUAGAGGAACAGGAAUGAAAGUAUUGUUUCCAUGUCAGAUGCUAGAGGAACAAUGGGGUAUGUAGCUCCAGAGAUGUGGAGUAGAAAUCUAGGAAGAGUUUCGCAUAAGUCUGAUGUUUAUAGUUAUGGAAUGAUGCUGCUAGAGAUGGUUGGAGGAAGGAAGAACAUUAAUGCCGAAGCAAGUCAUACAAGUGAGAUAUACUUCCCACACUGGGCAUACAAUAAGCUUGAGUUGGACAACGAUUUGAGACCAGAUAUGGAGAUGACAGCAGAAGAAAAUGAGAUUGUAAAGAGGUUGGCGAUGGUGGGUUUAUGGUGUACUCAAACGUUUCCUAAUGAUAGACCUACAAUGAGCGAAGUGAUAGAUAUGUUGGAAGGCAACAUAGAUUCCAUACAAAUCCCACCAAAACCUUUACUUUCUUCUCCCACUAGAUCAGUACCUGAGUAUUCCAUAUCUUGAAAUUAAGUGAACUUUAUAUUUGAUAAAUUUUUCGUCUUGUACCUUAAAAUGAAUCGUUCUAUAUAAAUGUUGGCUCUUUCGAAUAAUCUAGAAAAGCAAGUACAAGCUCAUGAGACAGUUACAUCAGAAUGCAAAAGCUAGCCACCAAUUGAUUAAAUAAAUUAUGUCAUGUGUACCAUUGACCUGAGUUAGAUAAGUCUUUUGAAAUGAACAAUAGAAAGGGCAAAUACAAUAUCAAGUGGCAUAUUUAUAUGACUUAAAACAAUGAUAAGCACUGUGUAGAUGUUUGUUGGUUGAUGGAUUCGCAGCUUGAAGAGAGGGAGGAAGUGGAAUAACAAGGUGUGAAUUUUAUUUGUCUUCUGUUCUUGAGUUUGAACUUAGUUAUAGUGAGGGAGGGCUACGAGGAGAUGUUCGGGGAGGACUUGAGGAGUUCCCUAUAUGGUAGUCGGAGGAGCAUCUUGUGAAUGAUAUAGGAGUUAUAAGGUGAUAUAGUAGUAAAUUUGGAAGGAAUGGUGAGAGGUUGCAUUAAUAUUUCGGAGUUAUAAAAUUGGUUUGGUAGAUUUGAAUGGAAGGGUGGGAGAGGUUGUUGAUUCAACUUUUUUACUAACAAAAUACUAACAAUUGCUCAUAAAAAAAAAUUGUGAAUAUAUUGAGACAGAUGGUAAUGAUCUCAGGAUCUAGUUUGAAGAACAUAUGGAGGAAACCCUCACGAAGAUCAUUUGAAGGACUUACAUGUGGAUUCCUCAAAGGAAUAAGGAAUUUUAGGGUCUUGUGUAACAUGUUGUUUGUGUUAGUAAAGGGUAGAUAUAGUUUCACUACGCUGAUUCUAAGAUCUUUUUUUAGUUUGGAGGAGUAAAUCUCUUACUCAGAUCUUUUAUAUAGUAUUCAAUUAUUCCUAUGAUAUUUUAUAUUGUUUAUUCUCAUAAAACUCCUAAGUUUAUCUUAUAAUUAUCUGAUAACACCUAAAUUUAAGUUUAUUUCUACAAAAUUCUUUCAUAAACUUAAAUUUUGCCUUAUUUCAUCUUUCUUUCUACAUCAACCCAGAUCAAACUUACUCCUUUCAUUAACAAUGACAAUUAAGUUGAUUGCCAAUUGUUUUUAAUUGUGUGCACACGAUCUCCCGUGAUCAUCUUGAUCUCCACUCUAACAUUCCUACAUGAUUCAACUACUGCUUCAACUCCUGACCUAAAACGGUAUUUCAAUCCAAGUAUUCCCAACAAUGUUAGUUAUGUCUCUUCAAACUUAUUUGGACUUGUUUCAAAGGCUAUUAAGUCAGCUCGAACAUCAACAAGAAUCUUUACUCUUCAUUAUGAAAUUCUUUCAGUGUCUAGAUAGUGACAGCGUCACCAUAGUCCUCGACAUCUUCAGAGCCAUCUGCCAAAUACACUCCAUAGCUUCCUACAGAAGCAACAAUUAAAAUGGGACAAAUUCUAUAUCUUUUAUUUCUCAUAAAGUCUGAAGAAUCUUUGGUACACCUAUCAUGAUAAAUUUCUCGAGCCUCACGUGCAAUCUCUACACUUCUUCUAAACAUAGCAACACCUUCUCUAGAGAACCCUUUAGCCUCGCAACCUUGAAUAGAGGCUUGAUAAGAUGUUGUUAAUAUUAUGUUUUCUCUUGCUUUGAGGUAAUCUAGGUGGACCCUUCUGACAAGAUGUGAUGAUGAGCUAACAUGGUAUUUGGCACUCCAAAGUUGGUCAUUGAGAUCUGCACCUUGACGUUCUAAUUCAAUGGCAAAGCCACCUUUAAUGAUGACAAACUGCCACACUCGUCAAACUUAACCCUUAAAAACGAUGAUGCUCAACUCUUGUUCACUUUUACCUAGUACAAAUUUCUGGAACUUCAUUUUUAGGAUUUGGCAAUCCACAAUCUUGUUCGGGAAUGAAGAAGUGUCUUCAACCUUAAUUUGUGAAGAUUGAUAAACACAAAGACAAACACUUCUCAAUUUGAAUCCAUUGCCACCUUUAAACUUUGUCGAUAACUAAAUAUUUACUACAGAUGAAUCUGUGUAGAACAAUCUAAUUUCGAAACUUUGGUUAGAUCUAAAGUAACAAACAAAUUACGCGUGGCUGAUACCAAUAAACAGAGAAAUCUAAUUAAAAAAAUUGAUAAAAAACUAUUCCAGUAAGCAUUGACCUACCGGGAAAAAAACAAAGGUAACCAACAUAGUUUAUUCCCUAAUUCUUUCAAUUUGGGGGAGAGGGAGACUGGGUCGUGUUUGGGAGUGAAGAAAGUAAGAGGAAAGAAGGCGGUAGCUUCGGGGGAGAAGUGAGAAGAAGUGCUUCCAUAGCGUUGAUUUCUGAGAGAGAGGGUUGGGAGGGAACUGAGAAGAAGUGUGAGAAUGGAUGAUAAACAUACUCACAUCCACACCACUCCCCUUGCCUUCGCACUCACCGUCUCUUGCUUCCUCUGCAUCGCUUUGCCACGUUCCCACUCUCAACCAUCGCCGUCGCCAUCGUCACCGCUACCGCCUUGUGCUGAGCCGUUAUACAUGUGCAGCGUAAAGGUUUCCGACAUCUUGGAUCCUGUCUGGAAACAGAUUCCUCCCUCUCAGUGUAUCGGCGCCGACCCAUCACCCCAGCUCAGCUGCUCUGCUUCUUAUGAAUCUCAAAAUUUCACACUGAAGAAGGUCGACAACACCACUCACACCAUGACGGUGGUGCCAACACACACUGUCAAUGAUGUUUGUUCUCCUGAUUUUUUUCACAUUUACGACAACUUGAACAACAGUCUGUUACAAUAUUACGAGUCAGCGCACAAAGUCAUCGUAUUUGUUUGUCCUUUCGACAUCCCAAGUUUCCCUUCAGAAAGCAGAUUUAAAUGCGGGGAUGGUGUGUACUAUUUUGGGGAAGAGGAUGAGAUGUUGUACGUACACCCAUGGCUUGAGUAUUGCAAGAAAAGAUUGCUGCUGCCCAUUGUCGCUCCUCCCGGUGAUUAUGAUAAUAAAGAUGGUGGAGCUGAAGUUCUGAAAGAAGCUCUGAGGGAUGGGUUUGAGGUCUACUAUAGUCCUCCUCAACACUGUAGAGGAUGCAACCAAAUUAACGGAAAUUGCUGGACCGGUGGUUACGAGGGACAUGAAGUUUCAUGCAACUACUAUUGCCCAAAUCAAUACUGUUCUUCCAAGAGUAGUGGUAUGUCUUAUCUCCUCUCGUAUAUAUCUUACAUAUCAUCGCCACAAAAUCCUCUUUUUAGCUACUCACUUCCAUUCUCCCUCUUUAAUCAAUCUAUUAAUAUCCUUUAACCAACACAACUUUCAAUUAUCAACGCUAAUAUUGAAUAUUUCUGUGCUAU